GAUGAACGCUAGCGGCAGGCCUAACACAUGCAAGCCGAGCGGUAUUGUUUCUUCGGAACUGCGAGAGCGGUGUACGGGUGCGUAACACGUGUGCAACCUGCCUUUAUCUAUGGGAUAGCCUUUCGUAAGGAAGAUUAAUACUCCAUACUAUAUUUAAUGGCAUCGUUUAAUUUUGAAAGUUCCGGCGGAUCGAGAUGGGCCCGCGCAAGAUUUGCUGGUUGGUAAGGUAACAGCUUACCAAGGCGAUGUACUCUAGGGGCGCUGCAUGGGUGAUCCCCCAGACUGGUACUGAGACACAGACCAGAAUGCGACGGGAGGCAGCAGUGAGGAAUAUUAGGCAAGGAAUGCAAGCCUGAACAAGCCAUCCCGCGUAAAGGACGACUGCCCUAGGGGUUGUAUGCUUCUUUUGAAUAGGGAUAAUCUAACCCACGAGAGAGUAGCUGAAGGUACUAAACGAAUAAGCACCGGCUAACUACGUG
rnacentral:rRNA from 1 species